UGCCACUCCACUUGUUGCCGUGUUGAGCCUUGUAGAUCGUCGUGGUCCAAAUCCUUGAAUGUAGGAAGUUCUGUUCAUCGUGGUUUCCGAGUUUCUAGUCAUUGUACUUUUCUUUUACGUUUUAUCAAAGAAUUUUUAUAAAUAAAAAUUCCAAGAAUAAGAACGUACAAAAAAUCUACAAAUGAACAAGAAAACAAAAAACCUUGAAUGCGAGAGUUUUUUUAUAAGCGUGUGAAUCGAGACUCUCAAUGAAAGCACCAAUUUGUGGAUGCAAAUUUCCACCUUCUUCUUCUUGGACGAAAAUGCACCUGCAAAACAAUUAACACAUUAGGUCAAGGCCAAAAGCCUCAUGCCCCCACGAUGAAUUUGGGGGGGGGGGGUAAGGGCGCUUUGGCCGAAGAACCUCCAAUGUCAAAGUUAGAAUUUGAGAGAGAAAGUGUUUAGAGAAAUUCGGAGAAUUUAGCAAGAGAAUUGAACUUAGGUUUUUGGGAGAAAUGGUGGCUAUUUAUAGGGGUGUGGCCGGCCCCUAUUUGGAGAAAAGGGGUCCGACCACUUAUGGUGAUUUUUUGAAUUGUAAUCAAUUAGGCAAUUAAUCAAUUAAUUAGCUAAUUAAUCCUAUUUUGAAAAGAAUAAAUAGGAAUUACCUUAUGGAGAGGAUUUGAUGAGGAUUUGAUGAGGAUUUAUGGAGAGGAUUUGAUCACAUUUGACCUUAAUUGAGCCGUUAUUGUCUACUUCUUACACGUGGGAGUUCCGGUGUGCCUCAAGGGUAAUUUUGUCUUUUUCAUCCAAGAAUUCAAGUGUCGCCUCCAUAUUUUUCUUGGUUAUUUUUUACUCCACAAUUGUGGAAUGGAAGGAUUCCUGAUAAAGGUUCUUGUUCAAGGAUACCAUCAUCACCUGUAACAAAACCACAUUAAUUAAAUAACAAUACAAAAUAAAAAUAGUAUCCAUUGUUGUUAUAUUCAUUCUUGUUAAACAACAAGUGAGAUUUAGGAUCUUGGGUUUGAGGAGGAUGACAUAAUUCGUAAGAAUCAUGUCCGUUGUCUUCUGGCAUACGUUCAUCAUUUGGUUGUAUCCGAAUUUGGAUACCACUUGAUUUUUUUGAAACUUUCAAUUUAUCGUCCUUCUUAUAUAUCGUACACAAAAGCCGGUCAUCGAGCUGCAAGAACGAAAAAUGUGUCAGGAGGCUCAAUAAAAAUUUUGAGGAAAAAAACAAGGAAUUAAGAAUUAAUUAAUUCUUCAGAGGAAAUAGUAUUAAAAGUAUUGUAUAUUUUCAAACCCUCAUAAUAUUUUUUCUAUUUGCAUUCCUAGAAGUAGGCUUGGCAAUUCCUAAUACGACCUGAUAACCCAACACGAUACGACAUGAAAUUAACAGGUGUUCGGGUCGACAUGAUAACGAAUCGGGUGUUAUCGGGUAACCCGAUAAGCACCUGUUAAGAUAACAGGUUAGUUCGGGUAUACACGUGGGUAACAUGAUACACGAUAAGCAGAAUAUUAAUUUAAUAAUUUUAUAACCCUAAAAAAUACUAUAAUAAUUAUAUAUAUUAAUUUAACAAUUUUAUACCCCUAAAAAGUUUAAACUA
rnacentral:lncRNA from 1 species